rnacentral:rRNA from 1 species
AGCGAACGCUGGCGACAGGCCUAACACAUGCAAGUCGAACGAAGUCUUCGGACUUAGUGGCGGACGGGUGAGUAACACGUGGGAACGUGCCCUUUGGUACGGAAUAACUCAGGGAAACUUGAGCUAAUACCGUAUGUGCCCUUCGGGGGAAAGAUUUAUCGCCAUUGGAGCGGCCCGCGUCUGAUUAGCUAGUUGGUGAGGUAAAGGCUCACCAAGGCGACGAUCAGUAGCUGGUCUGAGAGGAUGAUCAGCCACAUUGGGACUGAGACACGGCGCAAACUCCUACGGGAGGCAGCAGUGGGGAAUCUUGCGCAAUGGGCGAAAGCCUGACGCAGCCAUGCCGCGUGAAUGAUGAAGGUCUUAGGAUUGUAAAAUUCUUUCACCGGGGACGAUAAUGACGGUACCCGGAGAAGAAGCCCCGGCUAACUUCGUGCCAGCCGCCGCAGUAACAC